UACGUAGGGGGCGAGCGUUGUCCGGAAUUAUUGGGCGUAAAGAGCGUGUAGGCGGUUCGGUAAGUCUGUCGUGAAAACCUGGGGCUCAACCCCAGGCGUGCGGUGGAUACUGUCGAGCUAGAGUCCGGAAGAGGCGGGUGGAAUUCCUGGUGUAGCGGUGGAAUGCGCAGAUAUCAGGAGGAACACCAACGGCGAAGGCAGCCCGCUGGGACGGUACUGACGCUAAGGCGCGAAAGCGUGGGGAGCGAACAGG
rnacentral:rRNA from 1 species